UACAGAGGGGGCAAGCGUUGUUCGGAAUUACUGGGCGUAAAGGGCGCGUAGGCGACCUGUUAAGUCGGAUGUGAAAUCCCCAGGCUCAACCUGGGAACUGCAUCCGAUACUGGAUGGCUUGAAUCCGGGAGAGGGAUGCAGAAUUCCAGGUGUAGCGGUGAAAUGCGUAGAUAUCAGGAGGAACACCGGUGGCGAAGGCGGGUCUCUGGGCAACUACUGACGCUGAGGAGCGAAAGCGUGGGGAGCGAACAGG
rnacentral:rRNA from 1 species